AUACUGAAGUGCCGAGUGCCCACGGAAGCCUCUGGAAACCCCGUAGCCUUGUUAGCACAUUGUGCCCUGUAUCGGUCAGGUUUUAUGGUUUAGCUCAAAGUUCGAAUUGCAGACGUGCAAGGGAAGAAAGGAUCAAGAAUUCCAGUACUGGAUGGUGAGCCCCAGCCCAAAGAGUCAACUGAACUGGUAGCUUGUAGCCCGACUGGUUACAAACACAUUGAACACUGAACGAACCUCUUAAAAAAAAAAAAAAA